rnacentral:rRNA from 1 species
GCGGAUUAGUGGCGAACGGGUGAGUAACGCGUGAGUAACCUGCCUUACACAAGGGGAUAGCCUUUGGAAACGAAGAAUAAUACCCUAUAAAACUAUAAAAGCACAUGCUAGAAUGGUCAAAGUGCUAGCGGUGUAAGAUGGACUUGCGUCUGAUUAGCUAGUUGGUGAGAUAAAAGCUCACCAAGGCAACGAUCAGUAGCCGGCUUGAGAGAGUGUACGGCCACAUUGGGACUGAGACACGGCCCAG